GCGGGAAUAGCUCAGUGGUAGAGCGCCACCUUGCCAAGGUGGAUGUCGCCGGUUCGACCCCGGUUUCCCGCUCCA
rnacentral:tRNA from 1 species